GACGAACGCUGGCGGCGUGCCUAAUACAUGCAAGUUGAGCGCUGAAGGUUGGUACUUGUACCAACUGGAUGAGCAGCGAACGGGUGAGUAACGCGUGGGGAAUCUGCCUUUGAGCGGGGGACAACAUUUGGAAACGAAUGCUAAUACCGCAUAAAAACUUUAAACACAAGUUUUAAGUUUGAAAGAUGCAAUUGCAUCACUCAAAGAUGAUCCCGCGUUGUAUUAGCUAGUUGGUGAGGUAAAGGCUCACCAAGGCGAUGAUACAUAGCCGACCUGAGAGGGUGAUCGGCCACAUUGGGACUGAGAAACGGCCCAAACUCCUACGGGAGGCAGCAGUAGGGAAUCUUCGGCAAUGGACGAAAGUCUGACCGAGCAACGCCGCGGGAGUGAAGAAGGUUUUCGGAUCGUAAAACUCUGUUGGUAGAGAAGAACGUUGGUGAGAGUGGAAAGCUCAUCAAGUGACGGUAACUACCCAGAAAGGGACGGCUAACUACGUG
rnacentral:rRNA from 1 species